rnacentral:rRNA from 1 species
AUACGUAGGUGGCAAGCGUUGUCCGGAAUUAUUGGGCGUAAAGCGCAUGUAGGCGGUUUGGUAAGUCGGUCGUGAAAAUGCGGUGCUUAACGCCGUAUGGCGAUUGAAACUGCUGAACUUGAGUGCAGGAGAGGAAAGGGGAACUCCCAGUGUAGCGGUGAAAUGCGUAGAUAUUGGGAAGAACACCGGUGGCGAAGGCGCUUUUCUGGACGUGGUCUGCCGCUCAGAGGCGAAAGCCAGGGUAGCGAACGGGAUUAGAUACCCCGGUAGUCCUGGCCGUAAACGAUGGGUACUAGGUGUGGGAGGUAUCGACUCCUUCCGUGCCGGAGUUAACGCAAUAAGUACCCCGCCUGGGGAGUACGGCCGCAAGGCUUAAACUCAAAUGAAUUGACGGGG